rnacentral:lncRNA from 1 species
ACGAAUGCGCACGCUUUUGCGCAACUAACUCACUUAACGCCGUCAAAGUACACGUCAUAUAGCUUUGACAAAGAUUGGAAUAUUCUUUUAUGAACCGCGUCAGAAGUCGGUACGAACAGAAAAAAUCCAGUUAGCCUAACUUAACGGCGUGUUUGAACCUAAAAAAGAACAAAUCCAGUACGACAAGUCGUACUGGCGAGUAGGUGACGAGCGGACCACGCAACGAAGAUUAUUAUUAUUUAAAUUAAGGCUGAAAAAACGACAACAAAUAAUGUAAUUUACUAGAAUAGACAUGAUGAUGGUGUGACUGUUGUAUAUAUAGGUAGUGUAAGACUCUGCUCGUUUAUCCAAUCUGUUUCCCUUUCGCCCUUUCUUUUUAGUUUCUUCAAUUCCACUAAGCACUUACUGCACCCUGCUGGUGGCUACAGCGUCGCUUUUGCUAGAAAAGUGAUUUUACUUGUAUGGCAGCUAAUUCGAAGAGCACUCGAGAGAUCGCUACCUUGGGGAAACGACUGGCUAACCAUAUCUUCAAGCGCGAUCCUUCUGCCACUGCCAGGUUUGUCCUUAAUUAUUGUAGAUUCUUCUGCUACGAUUUCAGAAUCAAUUUUUAUAUGAUCUGAUCUCAGCCGUUGAUCAGUCAUACUUUUUUUUUACUUAAAAAAAAAA